rnacentral:rRNA from 1 species
CAGCCGUAAACUAUGCGCGUUAGGUGUACUGGUGACCACGAGUCACCGGGGUGCCGAAGGGAAACCGUGAAACGUGCCGCCUGGGAAGUACGGUCGCAAGGCUGAAACUUAAAGGAAUUGGCGGGGGAGCUCCACAACGGGUGGAGCCUGCGGUUUAAUUGGACUCAACGCCGGAAAUCUCACCGGAUAGGACAGACAUAUGAUAGUCGGGCUGAAGACUCUACUUGAUGAUCUGAGAGGAGGUGCAUGGCGUCAGUGACU